ensembl:lncRNA
AUUUGGAAUGACAUGUAGGUGAGUAAAUGAUUUUCAGUACUUCAAUUUCUGGUUGAACUGUCCCUUAAAGACUCUACAGCCUAUUGAAAAGACAUAAAUGUAUUACUUACAACCUUGAUUUCAUUAAUCUCAAAGGAAAUACCCUCAAACUAAAUGUAAACAAGUCCGUAAAGCAAUGCUAACAUCUGCAAUCUGGUUGGUAAUACGUGAUUGGCACACUGGGCUAUAUCUUCCCGAGAACCCUGAUCUCUUGUGAAAAAACAUGGUAGCCUGUCCAUGCAGACAGAUCUGACUGUGUAAUGUAUUGACAGUUGAGCAGUCUACAUUAAGUGCAUACAUUGAAAACACACGUCUGUCAAGGGAGGGGGGUUAUUUAGGAGGAAGAUCAAUAGAAGGUUAAAUGACGGCCCUUCUUUGACUCUACAGGCCCAGCUAGAGCAAGGGGGAGUAGCUCUUCCGAACUCUCCCCCUCCUUUUCUCUUUCCCUACUGCUUCUGCAGCCAUCACACAUACUCAGCUUAGUUAGCCUGGGAAAAAGAGCCCCAAACCCCGAUCAAUAACUUUGGUCUUGUCUGCCUAAUUGCUCAUUGGUUGACAUUGGCACCCAGCUAUAUGUAAGUGCAUGUUCCUGGAGUGAUUCACUCUUCCCUUUCCUCUCUCUCUCCACCUCCCUCUCUUUACUCUCAAAAACGCCUCACGCCCUCUGUUCCUUCCUCUUCGCCACGUUUGGGAUGCCCGAACCACAGUUGUCACGUCGGGACGUGAGCAUCCAAAGGCUCCGGCAAGACCUGCUCCACUCUCAUCAGGCCCGUGACGCCCAGAGUGUUCAGCUGGACGUCCAAGAGCAGAGACUGCAGGAUCUGCAGCGAGAGCUGCAAGAAAGCCAGCAGGAGCUCCAGAGGAGACACGACCGCAACCAGCAGCUUCUCAGGUUGCUGCAAGAUGCCAGGAAGCAAGAUCAGGAGCUACAGGCUCAGGAAUGGUGUUGGCUCCGGAGGGCACAAGAGGACCUGAAAGCGAGAGAGGAGGAGUGGAGGAAAGAGAGAUCCUUCCUUCAAGAGCAGCUCGAUGGUGUCAGAGAGGAGCUCCACCAUGCCAAACACUCGGGCUGGUAGAAGAGCAGUCCACAGUCUCCAGGCUGCAGCGUGAGCAACAGGAAGCAGAACAUCAGAGGGAUCUCCUGGGCACCAGAGUAGCUGCGCUGAACUGUGACAUCCAGCAGAAAGACUGCAUGCGGCUCACAGAGCAGGACGAGGUACACCACACCAAAUACUUGGGUAAAACAGUGUCUGGUAAGGGUUCCUGUAGAGUAAAAGCUGUGUGUGCUGUAGGUGUCCAGUAGAGAUGACCUGCAGGCGGCGGACCGCUCGAGAAUCUGACUGCUGCACAAGAGGAGGAAGAGGAGGUGAGGAACACCUGUCAAUCAUUUAGUCUUUGACAACUUUUAUAGGUGUCUGUGACAUAUACAGAUUGAAAAUACAGUGAUGUACACCUUUAUUGAAAAGUUGGGGGUCAGAUUCAGAGUCUCUUAUGCUCACCAAAGCUGCUUUAAUGAAAUAUUAUUACAGUAAAAAGUGAAAGUGACGUGACAUACAGCCAAG